CACUAAGGCACCUGAGAGUGGCCAGAAGUGAAGGGAAAAGAAGUCAGAGGUGGUUGUGAAGAAUGGCUAGUAUGCCAUGGUUUAACUUCCCAGAGUAAAUAACGUAAUACUGAAGCAGUUACAUGCAUGGCCUGCUGAGGAGACCACAGGUACCAAGCAGCUUCCUACAGAAUUGUCCCAGAAAUUAUGAAUUUCAGAAACUUCUCUGGAAUUAACAGCUGCUACAGAAUCUGAGCUGUCUGCAUCUGCAAGAGAGAGCUGCAGUUGUGACAACACCAGACUGGGGGUGGUUGACAAGUUGAAGGCAAGGCUGCUAUUUGGGACGUAAAAGUAUUUUGAUGCCAGAAUUGUCAAGGAGUUCAAUAAUGAUUAAGUGCAAAAUGUUGUAGCUGGAAUGGGAUAACCCCCUGCACUAGGUACAGGCAUUUUUCUGUCUAGCUGGGGAAAAGCCACCCAGAAAAGACCAGAGGUUUCUGGUGGACAGGGACUUAUUUAGCAAACUAAUAAGCUUCCGCCAUGUAUCCUUGCAGUAAUGAUGGCCACAUACUCAUCUGUAUUAACAAAACUGUUCUCAGCAGACUGAAGGAAGUGAUUUUCACCAUCUUAAGACCACAUGGGGAAUAGCAUGCUAACUUUUGGGCUUCUAAGUGCAAGAAAGACACUGACAUUGUGGAGCAAGUCCAGAGAAUGACUCAAAGACUAAGAAAAGUAGGUUUGUUUAUUAGCAAGGAAAGAAAACUAAGUUGAGACCUCAGCACUGUCUGCAACCACUUAAUAGGAAGGUGUAGAAAAGAGGGAGUAAGAUUCACAGCAGACCUGCACAGAUAAGUGGCAGUAGAUACAAGUUGGAACACGUUAUAUUCUGACCGGAUGUAUAAAAAAAGAAUUCCCAUGAGGAUGGCUGAUCAGAACACGCUGUCCCAAGAGGCUGUAGAAACUCUACCCAUGGAGAUACUCAAAACCCAAGUAGGUUUGCAACAUGCUGUAGCAGGAGGCUGGCUAGAGAUCUCAGGAACAGAUGGGAUUCACUGAGACUGCAUGCUUCCUUAUCACUCACUACUAUAGACCAGAGAGUUUAAAAAAAUUAAUACAGGUUUUCAUAAUUAGGUUAAGCCCACAAUAAUAUACUGCAAAUAUAUAACAAAAACACAAUGCAAGCAAAUACGGCAGAGGCAAACUCAUUUACGAGAUUUUGUCUAAGAAAAGCUGAUACACUAAAUAUUUUGUUCUGUUUUCUGAUUUGGGGACUGGAGACAUGAUAAGAAGUUAGUGGGGUUGAAGUUCAAAGAUUAACAACUCAGUUCUUCAUGUAACAAAUAGUUGAUCUCUGGAUGUCUUUGUGAAGAGGGGCUACAGAUAAUAAAAGUUUGUAUGAGCUGAAGGGCACACUAACAAGUUAAUGGAAAAGAAAUCCUUGUUGUUGUUAAUUCAAAAGAAGUCACAUCCUGCAUAGAAGACUCAAAAAUUAAAAUGACUGAGAUUAAAAUGUCUUAAGUAGGCUUAUCAUAUAUGCUUGUGCUGUUCUUACACUUUUUCUUUGAAGACUUUCUUAGAAACUUGCCUAUGGAGAAAAUCACAGUCAAAAAAGAAAUUCUAGACUUGAUAAACCAUUGCCCUCUCCACAAACAACUGUUCUAAGGAAGAGUUAACAGUGGUCUCCAUUUAAUAGUUAAAAGUCAUGGUAACAUGGAAGAGGGAAAAGCUAGCAGAAAGAAUUUCUGAAAUGGAAACUGCAGAGAAUUGAAGAUGAGCAAUUUGAGUUUUAACUUCAUGUGGAGUGGAAAAAAGAUAAGGAACAAAUGUAUUCAAUAAUAUGUUUAGGAACAAAAGGAAAAACCCCAGUUGAAUAAAACCAGACUUUUUAAUAGGAGUGUUCUACAUAUUACAGCAGAGAGAAAAAAUGAGGACACCAAAAAAAACCACCAGAUACCUAAACACAUCAGAAUAAGCAUAAGGUUUGCUUGUGGACAGGAAGUGAGAGUAAGGAAUUUAGAAACAUGCACAAAGUGGAGGAUUUUCAGAGUGCAGUUUUUACAAAAAGUCUUUAUUACAAGCCUGAAAUAUUAGACAUGCUGGAGUACUAAGAGAGUAAAAGGAAUAUAAGAAUAUAAUAAUAUGCAGAUUUUUGUAAAAUUAUAAAGAAUUGAUGAAAAUUUAUAGUGAUGACUCCCAACUGCUGUUACUGCAAAUGCCAUUUCUUAUAAAUUUAGUUUUUAGUCAUCUUCAAUUCUGAAUGGAUGUGAAGUAGAUUUUUAAAUUAAUCUGGAUCCAUAUUUUAUAAAAAAUUAUUUCAAGAGAGAAAACACUUCCAUCUCCACUUGCAAAAAACACGAUUGUUAGGCUAAAAAAUAACAGUAAUGUAAUCAUUCUCAAGGAAACACAGAGACUUUCAGAGACUUCUAAUGACAAUAUUAUAAUCUUUUUUAAGUAUCACCUGAAGAUAAAGCAUUUCAAAAAUCCCCCCCACCAGAACUGCCAAAUUAAGAAUCCUGCACAGCAGGAGAGAUGUCUCACCUUUGAAAGUACUGCUUUAAGAAUACAGAAAUAUAGUAUAAAAGUCUCUUGAAUACAAUUCUUACAACAUCGUCUCAGAGUCUUAUGUACUUCUUAUCUUCAACUGUAGUAAGUGUACAAUAAUCCAAAUCCCAUUCUUCUGUCAUAAAGGGAGUGAGUAUUUAGUUAGAUUCUCUCAGACUACAAUUAAGAAAAUUACAUUUCUUGCUUAUAUUAAUGGAGCACAUACUAUAGUAAAAACAUCUUUCCUAACCUUUUUCAACCUUUUUCAACAAGUUGCAAUGUUUUCAUACUUAAAAGAGCUGACAAGUGGAUUAAAGAAAUGUUUCUCUUUGCAUAUGACAAAGACUGCCUUUCAUAAAUACCUCUUUAUAUUUUAAAAUAAAAUCUGAGUCAUUCAAAGGACUUAAAAUACAUAUAACUGGGUUAUUUUUACAGGAUAUGAAAACUCAUGCAGAGAUAAGGAAACUGCCUUCAUAGGGUUAAAACAUGUCUUAAGAAGUCCUUUUAUUAAUAUUGAUGAAAGAAGUUUUAACACUCUUGUUAAUUGAAAGAAAAACAACAAACAACCAAGUUGCUAUUCUUAAAACAACUAUGAAACAUUUCCAGAGAAGGCAGUCUUCAAAAGUGUAAUUUAUGUAUUUCCUUUGUCAGUAAUUAGGUAAAUAAUCUGUAAUUAAUGCAUCUCUUUACCAGCAGAAGGAAAUAAAAUUAGACCCUUUUUUCAGGCAGAUGAGGCUCUCUGGCACUCUAUGCUGCAAUCAAAUUUAUUUUAAAA